rnacentral:rRNA from 1 species
AUUGAACGCUGGCGGCAUGCCUAACACAUGCAAGUCGAACGGCAGCACAGCCCGCAAGGGUGGGUGGCGAGUGGCGGACGGGUGAGGAAUACGUCGGAAUCUGCCCAGUCGUGGGGGAUAACUAGCCGAAAGGUUAGCUAAUACCGCCUACGACCGAGAGGUGAAAGCGGGGGACCGCAAGGCCUCGCGCGAUUCGAUGAGCCGACGUCGGAUUAGCUAGUUGGUGGGGUAAAGGCCUACCAAGGCGACGAUCCGUAGCUGGUCUGAGAGGAUGAUCAGCCACACUGGAACUGAGACACGGUCCAGACUCCUACGGGAGGCAGCAGUGGGGAAUAUUGGACAAUGGGCGCAAGCCUGAUCCAGCAAUGCCGCGUGUGUGAAGAAGGCCUUCGGGUUGUAAAGCACUUUAAGUUGGGAGGAAGGGCGCUCGGUGAAUACCCAGGCGUCUUGACGUUACCGACAGAAUAAGCACCGGCUAACUUCGUGCCAGCCGCCGCAGUAACAC